UACUAGCAUCAGCUUUUUUUGCCAGAUUAAAGCAGGUCCUUUAGCAAUAUUUUUCCUGUAUUUCGCCCCAGUUCUUCCUUUUAACAAUAUGGCUCUUCUAACAUCAUACUUUACUGUAGGUUCAAUAAAGCAUUGAAUACAUUGGAUUGCAGCUCUGAGUAUACACAUUUAUAUAAUGAUGAGCUUGGGAAUUGCAAAACCGGUAAUAUUAAAUUGAUCAUUCAUGUCCUGACAUGUCCUAAUGUCCUCAAUAUAUUGAUAAUGGAUUUCAGUAAUGAUGGACCUCAGAGAAUUGAGAGACCCUUCUUUUAAUCUGCUGACAGAGCAUCAAAAUAUAUUACUUUUCAAGAAAUUAAAAACAAGAUAAUUAAAUGGGGAAAUAUACAAUCUUUCAUAAAAUGUUUUCUAUUCUUACCCAUAUCAUAGUGGAUGGAUCCUGAGUUUGCCACAUGUAAGACAGCCAACAGGCUGUACCUGGAAGUGAAAAUCACCUGACGCAUUUUGCGACCAAUCAGCUUCUUCAGAAUUCGAAUCUGGCCAUUUGUAUGAAGAAGAAAAAAUAAUAAAAUUAAAGUAACCUAUACGAAAUGUUUUAUGGUAUAAUUAGAGGCCAUCAGGAUACGUUACUCUCCAUAUAACUUUUAUAUUUUCAUGAUGUAUCAAAUGAAAUAAAUGUGAAACAUUAAAACAUCUUUUACACCUAAAACCUGUUGACAUUAUA